UUGGGUUAAGUCCCGCAACGAGCGCAACCCUUAUCCCUAGUUGCCAUCAGGUAAAGCUGGGAACUCUGGGGAGACUGCCGGUGAUAAACCGGAGGAAGCGGGGAUGACGUCAAGUCCUCAUGGCCCUUACAUCCCGGGCUACACACGUGCUACAAUGGCAGGUACAGAGGGCUGCGAAGCCGCGAGGUGGAGCGAAUCCCAGAAAACCUGUCUCAGUCCGGAUUGAAGUCUGCAACUCGACUUCAUGAAGGCGGAAUCGCUAGUAACCGCGAAUCAGCAGGUCGCGGUGAAUACGUUCCCGGGCCUU
rnacentral:rRNA from 1 species